GAGAUCUUCGGAUCUAGUGGCGCACGGGUGCGUAACGCGUGGGAAUCUGCCCUUGGGUUCGGAAUAACUUCUGGAAACGGAAGCUAAUACCGGAUGAUGACGUAAGUCCAAAGAUUUAUCGCCCAAGGAUGAGCCCGCGUAGGAUUAGCUAGUUGGUGGGGUAAAGGCCCACCAAGGCGACGAUCCUUAGCUGGUCUGAGAGGAUGAUCAGCCACACUGGGACUGAGACACGGCCCAGACUCCUACGGGAGGCAGCAGUAGGGAAUAUUGGACAAUGGGGGAAACCCUGAUCCAGCAAUGCCGCGUGAGUGAUGAAGGCCUUAGGGUUGUAAAGCUCUUUUACCCGGGAUGAUAAUGACAGUACCGGGAGAAUAAGCUCCGGCUAACUCCGUGCCAGCAGCCGCGGUAAUACGGAGGGAGCUAGCGUUGUUCGGAAUUACUGG
rnacentral:rRNA from 1 species